GACACCUGGGGCUCCCCUUCCCCAUCGGGAUAACACACCCAGACAGCACGACAUCCCCCAGAAGACACUUGUGCCGAGUUUGCCCUUGCCUGUGGCCCUCUUUUAAGAUGCAAAUGUCUUGGGACAACAGAGGCACUGCAGAGGUGGUGCUUGCCCUGCAAGGACCUCGGCUGCUUGAGGCCUCCCAGCUGCAGCUGGGAGGUGGAGGGUGGGCUCUUCUCUUGCCCUUCUAGAAGGUGAGCCGGUGUCAGCAACUGGUUCUGAGGGUCCCGGUCCCCAUCCUGAGAAUCCAUUCGCUGAUGUUCUGUCCAGACAGGGCCUGCCUGUCGUCAGAGGACAGUGUCUUUAGCUAAGCCUGCAUGCGCUAAGUGCUCCACAGUGUUAGCUGAUAGCUCUGUAAUGAGCGAUUAGUAAGUUUAGCCGCUCCCACAUACCCUUGGAAACACUUUCAUUUUCUAUACUUUGGAUGAGAUGCUCAUAAUCAUAUUUUGACGUCAUAGACUGAAAAGAACUCUUCACGUUAACAGAGUGACUUUCAAACAUUUUGAGUGUGAUCUGAGCUGCAGUAGGAGAUUUUGCACAGCUGCUCAGUACAGACACACAUGCAAUGAGAUGAGUGUGAUAAAACAGCAGAGACGCUGACAGCGUGGCAUGCACUGGUAUUGUCUGUUCUUUUGAGAAAACAAGGUUGCAACUCACUAAAUUAAUCUCUCCACCUCUCUUAUGCGUUCCACCUGGAAACCUUAAAACUCUGCAUUGGAAUAUUUCUGAACCCAGUUGUCCGAGGGGAACACUGAGGCACCCCUGGAGCAAAUUAGGCACGUCUGCACACUAAGGUGAUGGCCUGGAGAAAAGCACAAGUGGGUCUUCCAGAGAAUUCCAGAGCUCUAACACUUUUAGAGCCACCUGCCACAGCGCGCUCAAUUUGCAGGUGCAGAAACUAAAACCCAGAAUGUGUGACUUGCUCAAGAUCACUCAGUGAGUGAGCGACGGGGCUGGGAUAAAACGUAUCCCCGAUUCUGCCAGAAGAGUCUCACCUUCUCUUAACGUCAGGGGCACUGCUGCCUUGACCCAGGGGAGCUGGGCCCGACACAGAGCUCCCCCGCUCUGCACUGGGGAAUGGCCCACCCUGGAGGAUGUGAACGGAUUUCUCAAGGAAGGUGGAUCUCUGACUGCCUGCGUGCAGUGGGCCCGAGGCACAGUCUCCCUUUCCGUUCCCUGGGAUGUGACGCUGUCCCGUCUGAAGCGGCAGAAGGACCUGUUCAUUCCUCCUCUCUGAAAGGAACUGGAAUCCCCUCUCCCUUCAGGAAAAUUUGCAUUAUUUCACUAGAGAUGCAGCUAUGUCAAGACUAAUGAGGAAGGUUAUAACGAACCCACCGCCAUUCUGGAUCUUCCUUUCAAGGAGCCCUGGAAGAUCCAAUCAACCUGCCACAAAAUCUUUUCUAAUGAACUUCGUCACCCGUGAGGGACCGUCCUCAUUCUCCUUUUGCAGCAGCGUGACCCCCGGCCCUGCCGCUCGCCUUGGAUGCUCCGGCCCCUGCCUCACCUGGACACCGUCUCCGUAGAUGUGGUCACAGGAGCACCUCAGCCCCAGACUUGAGAGAAACACAAGGCGAGCCACAGCUGGGACUCAGGGAGCAAGAAAACACAGCGCAGUCACGGCUCCUGCCAAGGGCAGCGCAGGGCCGCGCGUGGUGAGGAGUUCGCCUCUGCACUAAUCCCAGGAUGCCACGAGGACCUCGUGCUUCUGACUUCGUCCUCCUGAUUCUUCCCGGCCUUCCGGGACCUCAGCUCCAGAACAAUGAGACUCCUCCACGCCCUCCGUGCCGCUUUCUUGAUCAUCUUCCAGGUACUGCCCGGUAAAUACCAAACACGACGAUGCCUCGUCUUAUCAUUAUUUUGUUUUUUCCUUCCCUAAGUCAACCAUCGUCAGAAAGUAAAGCAUUAGGGAGCUACUCAUAGGUCACCUCCACGCCCAAAAUCAGCUAUUGAAAAAUUAGAGAAUAAACUGAUUGUUGUGUCUUCA